GUAUUUUUCUUGUCAUCUACUUUCACCAUGCUUGGUAUACUAUUAUUUUUGAUCUGACAACUCAUUCCCCCAUUGGAUACCUUCACAGUAUCAAAGAAGAGCACUCCGAUACAAGAGAGGUUGCUGCUUUAGAUUUAAUAUUUUAGUGAUGGGCUUCCCUUGUGGUGAUGCUCAAGGUAGAGCAAAUACCUUUGAGCUGCAAAGCAUUGUUUACCUGGGCAUUUGACCUUGGACUUUGAAUAUAUUUAACUUCGAAUAUAUCAGAGUGGCUGAUCCAUCCACCAGAACUGAUAUGACUGGAGCUUAUCCAAAAAUCAUUUGGCAAAGAAAGGGACAAAGCUCUGGACUGGAUGGUAGUGGAAGGCGAAGACUCUGCUGCACAAGAUGAGUGGCCAUUUUCUUCAAUCAGGUUGAAGGUAUCAACUAACCAAAUGCAAGAAGCUAUCUUGCUUUUGGUUUAACUAUGUGAGGUUCGCCCUCUUAAUCUCAAGGACUGGUCAUUACCAUAGUAUUAAGGAAUUUUAAAAAAAGGGAUCCGGUAUAUAUCCUUGCAAUUUGUAGAUGGCUAAUUGGUUAACCAGUAGUCUUUGAGUUGAAACUAACAUGCAUGAUGUGGUAUGAGUUCCCAUAACUUGUGCUGAUCUUCGUUAUGAUACCAAAUGUGACUAAUUUGAAUGAACAGAAACCUUGUGGCAUCCAAGUAUUCACUACUAUGCCAUGCUUUUCAUUGCA